rnacentral:rRNA from 1 species
GAUGAACGCUAGCUACAGGCUUAACACAUGCAAGUCGAGGGGAAACGACAUCGAAAGCUUGCUUUUGAUGGGCGUCGACCGGCGCACGGGUGAGUAACGCGUAUCCAACCUGCCCAUCACUUGGGGAUAACCUUGCGAAAGUAAGACUAAUACCCAAUGAUAUCUCUAGAAGACAUCUGAAAGAGAUUAAAGAUUUAUCGGUGAUGGAUGGGGAUGCGUCUGAUUAGCUUGUUGGCGGGGUAACGGCCCACCAAGGCGACGAUCAGUAGGGGUUCUGAGAGGAAGGUCCCCCCACAUUGGAACUGAGACACGGUCCAAACUCCUACGGGAGGCAGCAGUGAGGAAUAUUGGUCAAUGGACGAGAGUCUGAACCAGCCAAGUAGCGUGCAGGAAGACGGCCCUAUGGGUUGUAAACUGCUUUUAUAAGGGAAUAAAGUUAGUCUCGUGAGACUUUUUGCAUGUACCUUAUGAAUAAGGACCGGCUAAUUCCGUGCCAGCAG